GACGAACGCUGGCGGCGUGCCUAACACAUGCAAGUCGAGCGAAGCGGCGGACGGGUUACUAACACGUGAGUCACCUGCCUUAGACAUUGGGAUAGCCUAGGGAAACCGGGAUUAAUACCACAUGGUCUAAGAUGGGCUCGCGUCCCAUUAGCUAGUUGGUGGGUAACGGCCCACCAAGGCGACGAUGGGUAACCGGGCUGGGAGGAUGGACCAGAAAAUUGGAGGUGGGAAACGGACGGAACUCCAGGGAAGGCAGGAGUGGGGAAUAUUGCACGAUGGAGGGAAGUAUGAGGCAGCGAGGCCGCGAGAACGAGGAAGGCGUGCAGGUCGUAAGGAUCUUUUAUAUGGGAAGCGGUACCAGAAGAAAAAGCCCCGGCUAACUACGUGCCAGCCGCCGCGGUAAUUC
rnacentral:rRNA from 1 species